GACGAACGCUGGCGGCAUGCCUAAUACAUGCAAGUCGAGCGAACAGAUGAAGUGCUUGCACUUCUGACGUUAGCGGCGAACGGGUGAGUAACACGUAAGGAAUCUACCUAUAAGCGGGGGAUAACAUUCGGAAACGGGUGCUAAUACCGCAUAAUAUCUUCUUCCGCAUGGAAGAAGAUUGAAAGACGGCUCUGCUGUCACUUAUAGAUGACCUUGCGGUGCAUUAGUUAGUUGGUGGGGUAAUGGCCUACCAAGACUAUGAUGCAUAGCCGACCUGAGAGGGUGAUCGGCCACAGUGGGACUGAGACACGGCCCAAACUCCUACGGGAGGCAGCAGUAGGGAAUCUUCCGCAAUGGGCGAAAGCCUGACGGAGCAAUGCCGCGUGAGUGAAGAAGGCCUUCGGGUCGUAAAACUCUGUUAUAAGAGAAGAACAAAUUGUAGAGUAACUGCUACAGUCUUGACGGUAUCUUAUCAGAAAGCCACGGCUAACUACGUGCCAGCCGCCGCAGUAA
rnacentral:rRNA from 1 species